ACCUGACUGGCUCAGUCAGUAGAGCAUUCAACUCUUGAUCUCAGGAUCAUGAGUUCAAGACCCAUGUUGGGUA
rfam:Canis lupus familiaris chromosome 3, whole genome shotgun sequence.